rnacentral:rRNA from 1 species
AUUGAACGCUGGCGGCAUGCCUUACACAUGCAAGUCGAACGGUAACAGGGAGCUUGCUCCGCUGACGAGUGGCGAACGGGUGAGUAAUGCAUCGGAACGUACCCAGUAGUGGGGGAUAACGCAGCGAAAGCUGUGCUAAUACCGCAUACGCACUGAGGUGGAAAGCAGGGGACCUUCGGGCCUUGUGCUAUUGGAGCGGCCGAUGUCAGAUUAGCUAGUUGGUGGGGUAAAAGCUCACCAAGGCGACGAUCUGUAGCUGGUCUGGGAGGAUGAUCAGCCCCACUGGGACUGAGACACGGCACAGACUCCUACGGGAGGGAGCAGUGGGGAAUUUUGGACAAUGGGGGCAACCCUGAUCCAGCCAUGCCGCGUGAGUGAAGAAGGCCUUCGGGUUGUAAAGCUCUUUCGGCCGGGAAGAAAUCGCCAUCUCUAACAUAGGUGGUGGAUGACGGUACCGGAAUAAGAAGCACCGGCUAACUACGUGCCAGCAGCCGCCGUAA